CAGUAGCCGCGGUAAUACAGAGGGUGCAAGCGUUAAUCGGAUUUACUGGGCGUAAAGGGCGCGUAGGUGGUUAUUUAAGUGAGAUGUGAAAGCCCCGGGCUUAACCUGGGAACUGCAUCUUAUACUGGGUAACUGGAGUGCAGUAGAGGGUAGUGGAAUUUCCGGUGUAGCGGUGAAAUGCGUAGAUAUCGGAAGGAACACCAGUGGCGAAGGCGGCUACCUGGACUGAGACUGACACUGAGGCGCGAGAGCGUGGGGAGCAAACAGGAUUAGAUACCCCUGUAGUCCCUGUCUCUUAUAC
rnacentral:rRNA from 1 species